GUGAAUCAUCAAAUUUUUGAACGCAAAUUGCACUCUCUUCUGAGAGUAUGCCUGUUUGAGGGUCAGCAUAAAAGUAAUCGACAUAGUCGCUGUUUCGCGGCGACAUUCUUCGGUUGUUGGGUCAUCUUAAACCUUUGGGUUUUAAGCGGCUUAAAAUUUUCUUUACGAUUCCACGAACGUUUCUAAGAUUUACUUCUUUCACUUUUAAUUUAUUAGAUCUUUAUUAGACGUUUCCGUUGCAUCGGAUCACGUC
rnacentral:misc_RNA from 1 species